GAUGAACGCAGGCGGCGUGCCUAAUACAUGCAAGUCGAACGCGCAGCGAAAGGUGCUUGCACCUUUCAAGCGAGUGGCGAACGGGUGAGUAACACGUGGAUAACCUGCCUCAAGGCUGGGGAUAACAUUUGGAAACAGAUGCUAAUACCGAAUAAAACUUAGUAUCGCAUGAUACAAAGUUAAAAGGCUCUACGGCGUCACCUAGAGAUGGAUCCGCGGUGCAUUAGUGAGUUGGUGGGGUAAAGGCUUACCAAGACGAUGAUGCAUAGCCGGAUUGAGAAACUGAGCGGCCACAUUGGGGCUGAGACACGGUCCAAACUCCUUCGGGGUGCUGCAGUAGUGGAUCUUCCCCAAUGGGCGCAAGCCUGAUGGAGCAACGCCGCGUGUGUGAUGAAGGCUUUCGGGUCGUAAAGCACUGUUGUAUGGGAAGAAAUGCUAAAAUAGGGAAUGAUUUUAGUUUGACGGUACCAUACCAGAAAGGGACGGCUAAAUACGUGCCAGCCGCCGCGGUAA
rnacentral:rRNA from 1 species